AUGAGUCCGGCGCAAUCCGAGCUCCUCCGUGUCAAGUCCCAGCCGCCGGGAGCUCCUCCGCAUGAACUCGAGCGGCUCCGAGAGUUGCGGACUGCCGCCUCCCCGCAGCGGCCGCGUCAUCCAAGAUGCCUCCGCUGUGACAUCGCACGGCUGAGGAGGCGAGGAGCACGAAACUCUAGAAAGAGGGUGCUGAUUGCUGAAGGAGGUCUUGCAACUAGCAAGGAAAUGGAGAGUUUUACUGAGAGUCUGUGGGAGAAAUCUGCAUGCUACCAUCAGGAAAAGAGGGAACAAUCUAUAGUAUAUUGGUAUAGGAUAUUGAGGAGUGUAAAUAGUAGCUCUAUUUUGUUCUCCAAGCAGAUCUCUUGGGAUAAAUUCAUGUUGUCUAUUGAAUCAUAUAUUGCAUUAAGAAAUACCACACUAGAAUUAACUUCUCGAAUGAGUGAACAUAUUACUAGAUUUAGUGCUCUUCAUUUACAACUUAUCAGAUACCAGAAUGAAAGAAUAUAUUACUGUCUCUAUGCAGCAACAUGA
rnacentral:rRNA from 1 species